rnacentral:rRNA from 1 species
GAGUUUGAUCCUGGCUCAGAUUGAACGCUGGCGGCAGGCUUAACACAUGCAAGUCGAGCGGAAACGAUUCUAGCUUGCUAGAAGGCGUCGAGCGGCGGACGGGUGAGUAAUGCAUGGGAAUCUGCCCGAUAGUGGGGGACAACCUGGGGAAACUCAGGCUAAUACCGCAUACGUCCUACGGGAGAAAGCAGGGGAUCUUCGGACCUUGCGCUAUCGGAUGAGCCCAUGUCGGAUUAGCUUGUUGGUGAGGUAAUGGCUCACCAAGGCGACGAUCCGUAGCUGGUCUGAGAGGAUGAUCAGCCACACUGGGACUGAGACACGGCCCAGACUCCUACGGGAGGCAGCAGUGGGGAAUAUUGGACAAUGGGCGAAAGCCUGAUCCAGCCAUGCCGCGUGUGUGAAGAAGGCCUUCGGGUUGUAAAGCACUUUCAGCGAGGAAGAACGCCUUGGGAUUAAUACUYCCGAGGAAAGACAUCACUCGCAGAAGAAGCACCGGCUAACUCCGUGCCAGCAGCCGCGGUAAUAC